AUGCACGCUGGCGGCGUGCCUAAUACAUGCAAGUCGAGCGAACAGACGAGGAGCUUGCUCCUCUGACGUUAGCGGCGGACGGGUGAGUAACACGUGGAUAACCUACCUAUAAGACUGGGAUAACUUCGGGAAACCGGAGCUAAUACCGGAUAAUAUAUUGAACCGCAUGGUUCAAUAGUGAAAGACGGUUUUGCUGUCACUUAUAGAUGGAUCCGCGCCGCAUUAGCUAGUUGGUAAGGUAACGGCUUACCAAGGCAACGAUGCGUAGCCGACCUGGGAGGGUGAUCGGCCACACUGGAACUGAGACACGGUCCAGACUCCUACGGGAGGCAGCAGUAGGGAAUCUUCCGCAAUGGGCGAAAGCCUGACGGAGCAACGCCGCGUGAGUGAUGAAGGUCUUCGGAUCGUAAAACUCUGUUAUUAGGGAAGAACAAAUGUGUAAGUAACUAUGCACGUCUUGACGGUACCUAAUCAGAAAGCCACGGCUAACUACGUG
rnacentral:rRNA from 1 species